rnacentral:rRNA from 1 species
CCUACGGGGGGCAGCAGUGAGGAAUAUUGGUCAAUGGACGAGAGUCUGAACCAGCGAAGUAGCGUGAAGGAUGACUGCCCUAUGGGUUGUAAACUUCUUUUAUAUGGGAAUAAAAUGUUCCACGUGUGGGAUUUUGUAUGUACCAUAUGAAUAAGGAUCGGCUAACUCCGUGCCAGCAGCCGCGGUAAUACGGAGGAUCCGAGCGUUAUCCGGAUUUAUUGGGUUUAAAGGGAGCGUAGGUGGAUUGUUAAGUCAGUUGUGAAAGUUUGCGGCUCAACCGUAAAAUUGCAGUUGAAACUGGCAGUCUUGAGUACAGUAGAGGUGGGCGGAAUUCGUGGUGUAGCGGUGAAAUGCUUAGAUAUCACGAAGAACUCCGAUUGCGAAGGCAGUUCACUGGACUGCAACUGACACUGAGGCUCGAAAGUGUGGGUAUCAAACAGGAUUAGAUACCCCAGUAGUC